rnacentral:tRNA from 1 species
UCCACAGUAGCUCAGUGGUAGAGCAAUCGGCUGUUAACCGAUCAGUCGCAGGUUCGAGUCCUGCCUGUGGAGCCA